UGCUUCUCUCUGAUUUAGCGGCGGACGGGUGAGUAACACGUGGGUAACCUGCCUUGUAGACUGGGAUAACUUCGGGAAACCGGAGCUAAUACCGGAUAAUACUUUUGAACUCAUGUUUGGAAGUUGAAAGAUGGUUUCGGCUAUCACUAUAAGAUGGACCCGCGGCGCAUUAGCUAGUUGGUGA
rnacentral:rRNA from 1 species